AGUGAACGCUGGCGGUAGGCCUAACACAUGCAAGUCGAACGGCAGCACAGUAAGAGCUUGCUCUUACGGGUGGCGAGUGGCGGACGGGUGAGGAAUACAUAGGAAUCUACUUUUUCGUGGGGGAUAACGUAGGGAAACUUACGCUAAUACCGCAUACGACCUACGGGUGAAAGCAGGGGAUCUUCGGACCUUGCGCGAUUGAAUGAGCCGAUGUCGGAUUAGCUAGUUGGCGGGGUAAAGGCCCACCAAGGCGACGAUCCGUAGCUGGUCUGAGAGGAUGAUCAGCCACACUGGAACUGAGACACGGUCCAGACUCCUACGGGAGGCAGCAGUGGGGAAUAUUGGACAAUGGGCGCAAGCCUGAUCCAGCCAUACCGCGUGGGUGAAGAAGGCCUUCGGGUUGUAAAGCCCUUUUGUUGGGAAAGAAAAGCAGCGGGUUAAUACCCCGCUGUUCUGACGGUACCCAAAGAAUAAGCACCGGCUAACUUCGUG
rnacentral:rRNA from 1 species